CUAAAUAGUUCUGUAACAAAACAAUUCGCCAGUAAGAACUACUAGCAACAGCUUAAAACUCAAAGGACUUGGCGGUGCUUUAUAUCCCUCUAGAGGAGCCUGUUCUAUAAUCGAUAAACCCCGAUAAACCUCACCAUCCCUUGCUAAUACAGUCUAUAUACCGCCAUCUUCAGCAAACCAGAA
rnacentral:rRNA from 1 species